UUUAAAUAGCUGCAGUAUUUUAACUGUACAAAGGUAGCAUAGUAAAUAGUCUUUUAAUUGAGGUCUAGAAUGAAUGGUUUAACAAGAAAAACACUUUAUUUAAUUGAUUAAAUUGAAUUUAAUUUUUUAGUUAAAAAGCUAAAAUUUUUAAAUGGGACGAUAAGACCCUAUAGAUCUUAAAAUUUUUUAAUAAUAAAUUUAUUUUAGGUAAUUUAAGGUUUUAAUUAUAAAUUUUUUGUUGGGGUGACAAAUAAAAUUUUAAAACUUUAUUUUUUUAAAACAUAUAUUUAUGAUUAAUAAUGAUCCUGGAAUCUGGAUUAUAAAAAUAAGAUACCUUAGGGAUAACAGCGUAAUAAAUUUGUAUAGUUCAUAUAGAUAAAUUUGUUUACGACCUCGAUGUUGAAUUAAUUAAAAUUCUUGAAGCAGAAAUUAAGAUUUUAGGUCUGUUCGACCUUUAGAAUAUUACA
rnacentral:rRNA from 1 species